rnacentral:rRNA from 1 species
UACGUAGGGAGCAAGCGUUGUUCGGAUUUACUGGGCGUAAAGGGCGCGUAGGCGGCAGAUCAAGUCAGUUGUGAAAUCUCUGAGCUUAACUCAGAACUGUCAACUGAUACUGUUCUGCUAGAGUGCGGAAGGGGCAAUCGGAAUUCUUGGUGUAGCGGUGAAAUGCGUAGAUAUCAAGAGGAACACCUGAGGUGAAGACGGGUUGCUGGGCCGACACUGACGCUGAGUGCGCGAAAGCCAGGGGAGCAAACGGG